UAAAAAUGCCAUAGUAAGGGUAACGUUUGAACCUGGUCAGGACCGGAAGGUAGCAGCCAUAAGAAUCUGUGCCUUGUACUUUGGCUUUUUUAUUGGA
rnacentral:SRP_RNA from 1 species